GAAUAGGUAGAGACGAUUUCCUGCUGCUGUCGCUGUGAUUAUAACAUGAGGAGGCUCCAAUUCAAACUGAUAAUAUGUUCUUCCAGAAUGCUCCGCCACGCUCAUGCUGAUCACCUUUCCUUCUACAUUUUCUCCAAUCACUUCGGGUCCAAAUGCGUUGAUUACUUUCUCUGGAGGGCCAACCAUUUCAAUGGUUGCAUCCUCGCCAAUAACAUCAGAAAAUCGACGAACAGGCGCAACAAUAACAAACAAUCGACCUUCCUUUGAGCUUCCGAAUCUGAGAUCAAUCUCUGUCCCACCUAGAUCAGCAAUUGACACA
rnacentral:misc_RNA from 1 species